UACGGAGGGUGCAAGCGUUAAUCGGAAUUACUGGGCGUAAAGGGUGCGUAGGUUGUUAAUUGAGUUAUCUGUGAAAUCCCCGGGCUUAACCUGGGCAGGUCAGAUAAUACUGGUUAACUAGAGUAUGGGAGAGGAUAGUGGAAUUUCAGGUGUAGCGGUGAAAUGCGUAGAGAUCUGAAGGAACACCAGUGGCGAAGGCGGCUAUCUGGCCCAAUACUGACACUGAGGCACGAAAGCGUGGGUAGCGAACAGG
rnacentral:rRNA from 1 species